rnacentral:rRNA from 1 species
AGAACUUUCCAGAGAUGGAUUGGUGCCUUCGGGAACUCUGAGACAGGUGCUGCAUGGCUGUCGUCAGCUCGUGUUGUGAAAUGUUGGGUUAAGUCCCGCAACGAGCGCAACCCUUAUCCUUUGUUGCCAGCGAUUCGGUCGGGAACUCAAAGGAGACUGCCAGUGAUAAACUGGAGGAAGGUGGGGAUGACGUCAAGUCAUCAUGGCCCUUACGAGUAGGGCUACACACGUGCUACAAUGGCGCAUACAAAGAGAAGCGACCUCGCGAGAGCAAGCGGACCUCAUAAAGUGCGUCGUAGUCCGGAUUGGAGUCUGCAACUCGACUCCAUGAAGUCGGAAUCGCUAGUAAUCGUAGAUCAGAAUGCUACGGUGAAUACGUUCCCGGGCCUUGUACACACCGCCCGUCACACCAUGGGAGUGGGUUGCAAAAGAAGUAGGUAGCUUAACCUUCGGGAGGGCGCUUACCACUUUGUGAUUCAUGACUGGGGUGAAGUCGUAACAAGGUAAGCGUAGUGCU